rnacentral:rRNA from 1 species
ACCCCGGUAGGGACGUCAAUACAUGCAAGUCGAACGCUUUGUGGUUCACUGAUUUGAAGAGCUUGCUCAGAUAUGACGAUGGACAUUGCAAAGAGUGGCGAACGGGUGAGUAACACGUGGGAAAACCUACCUCUUAGCAGGGGAAAACAUUUGGAAACAGAGUGCUAAUACCGUAUAAAAAAAGACAACCCCAUGGUUGUUAUUUAAAAAAAGGUUCUUGCUAUCACUAAAAAAAGGUUCCCGCGGGGCACUUAAAUUAGUUGGUAAAGUAAAGGCUUACCAAGGCGAUGAUGCAUAGCCGAGUUAAAAAACUGAUCGGCCCACAAUGGGACUGAGACACGGCCCAUACUCCUACGGGAGGCAGCAGUAGGGAAUUCUUCCACAAUGGGCGAAAGCCUGAUGGAGCAACGCCGCGUGUGUGAUGAAGGGUUUCGGCUCGUAAAACACUGUUGUAAGAGAAGAAUGACAUUGAGAGUAACUGUUCAAUGUGUGACGGUAUCUUACCAGAAAGGAACGGCUAAAUACGUGCCAGCAGCCGCGGUAAUACGUAUGUUCCAAGCGUUAUCCGGAUUUAUUGGGCGUAAAGCGAGCGCAGACGGUUAUUUAAGUCUGAAGUGAAAGCCCUCAGCUCAACUGAGGAAUUGCUUUGGAAACUGGAUGACUUGAGUGCAGUAGAGGAAAGUGGAACUCCAUGUGUAGCGGUGAAAUGCGUAGAUAUAUGGAAGAACACCAGUGGCGAAGGCGGCUUUCUGGACUGUAACUGACGUUGAGGCUCGAAAGUGUGGGUAGCAAACAGGAUUAGAUACCCUGGUAGUCCACACCGUAAACGAUGAGUGCUAGGUGUUUGAGGGUUUCCGCCCUUAAGUGCCGCAGCUAACGCAUUAAGCACUCCGCCUGGGGAGUACGACCGCAAGGUUGAAACUCAAAGGAAUUGACGGGGACCCGCACAAGCGGUGGAGCAUGUGGUUUAAUUCGAAGCAACGCGAAGAACCUUACCAGGUCUUGACAUCCCUUGACAACUCCAGAGAUGGAGCGUUCCCUUCGGGGACAAGGUGACAGGUGGUGCAUGGUUGUCGUCAGCUCCGUGUCCUGAGAUGUUGGGUUAAGUCCCGCAACGAGCGCAACCCUUAUUACUAGUUGCCAGCAUUCAGUUGGGCACUCUAGUGAAACUGCCGGUGACAAACCGGAAGAAGGUGGGGAUGACGUCAAAUCAUCAGGCCCCUUAAGACCGGGGCUACACACGGGGCUAAAAGGGCGUAAACAACGAGUUGCCAACCCCCGAGGGGGGAACUAAUCCCUUAAAAUACCCUCCCAGUUCGGAAUUGUAGGCGGGCAACUCCCCCACAUGAAGUCGGAACCGCUAGUAAUCGCGGAACAGCACCCCCCCGGUGAAAAAAUUUCCCGGGUCUUGUACACACCCCCCGUCACACCAGGAGAAAUUUGUAACACCCCAAAGCCGGGGGGGUAACCUUCUGGGAACCAGCCGUCUCUUAAGGGGGUACCCCCCCAAAUUAGGGGAGGGGGACAAAAAGGGGGGGAAAAAAAACCCAGAGCCAAAGGGAGCAUGGAA